GUGCAUUUGUUUUGCCUGCUGUCCUGAGAUCUGGUCCACAGCAAGAGGUGUGUGUCUCCUCCAAGGGUCUUUCUAUAUAGCCUAGGCUAGCCUUGAACUCACCAUGUGGCACAGGAUGACCUUCAAUUCACAGGAUCUUUCUGCCUCAGCCUCUCAAAUGCUGAGAUUCCAUGCAUGCACCACCACGCCUGGCUUUACUGUCAAUCUUAUCAUUGUGGUGUAUGGUUGAUAGUAUCAAUACUGCUAGGAUUAUUUCCAAAAGAUGAAAAAUAUUUCCAAAAGAUGAGAAGUAUAAAAUAAACAGCGGCCUUUAUUCUGAGAGAGAUGACCGGCACCCCCACUGCUGGCAUUCGGCGAUCUCUCCAGCGGACACGUGGCGUGGGGAUAUUACCAGGGAUCAAACUCAUGACUGUCUGCUUACAAGGUAGGCACUUAUGCCACUGAGCUAAAUCCCCAGCCCCUUGACACUCAAUCUUGAAGUGGUGCUAAAGAAAUGCUAAGAGACAAGAAGUAGAAAGGCCUUUAAUGUGGGCAAGGGAAAGCUGCAAAUGGGUGCAGGAGCUCUCAGAGAGGACAAGGAAGUGAAGCUAUUUUAAUCUGGUCUGGCUGGGGAGGAGUUUGGGAGGUGGGUCAAAUGACACAUUAAAGGUGGAUUUGAAGGAGCAUCUGCCUCUGCAAAACAGGACCCAGAAAGAUUUGCUGGGGGGUAGGGGUGGAGUGCUGGGGUGGUUGUGGAGUUUUGAGAUUAGAGAGGGCUCAGUGAAUGCAUGAGUGAAAAGGGAGUGGGAGGUUUGUCUCUGGAAUGAGAAGGAGAAGGUAGAAAUUAUUCCUGGAGAAAUAUGUUGCUUUUCUGGGUUCGUACCAAGUUGGGCAGAUGUCAUGUUACAGAUAGCUGAGCCCAGGCUAGCAGAAUCUAUCAAUAAUUUGAUGUACAUAUACAACAUGUAACGAUCAAGUCAGGGUACUUAUAAUUUCCAUCUUCUUAAACAUUUUUAAAAAAUUGAAAAAAGCCAGGUGUGGUGGCUCACGCCUGUAAUCCCAGCACUCAAGAGACUGAGGUAGGAUAGUUGCAAGUUCAAGACCAGCCUUGGCUACAAAGUGAGUUGAAGGCCAGCUUGGACUGAAUAGUGAGACCCUGUCUCAGAAAGAUAAAUAAAUAAAUAUAUGAAUAAGUUGAAAAUUAACAUGCAAUAAUUGUACAUAAAUUGCUGUAUUGUACGGCCAAUCCACUCAUUUCACUUUCUGCCAAAUACAUUGAUGUACAUGGAAAGAACAAAUCUUACUGGUAACACCUUGAAAUUCACUUAAAGGAAUUUUGACCACAGCUAACUGCAAACUGUCAUGGUUUGAGGAUUUAGGUGAAAUUCAUUUUCUUUGGUGAAGUCCACCACCUGUUCGAGUAAGAAUUUAUAGAAGUGCUUUGUUUUAUCCAAGCAUUAAUAUAGAAAUAAGCAGAUAGGUUUACAAUUUUCAGAUUCAGCAGGGCAUGAAAUAUAUAUAUAUGUCUGUGCAUAUAUAAAUAAAUAUAUAUAUAUAUAUAUUUAAUUUAAAAAACUCACUGGGAAUGGUUUUGAAUGUACCAUACAUUGUUAGUUAAACAAUGCAUGUUCCCAUUUUUCUUUUAAAUUUGGUAGUAAGAAUAAGAAGUCAGGGCAGGGGAUUUAGCUCAGUGGUGUAAGCACCUGCUUGGCAAGCAUCAGGUCGUGAGUUCAAUCCCUGUUACCAAAAAAAAAAAAAAAGAAUAAGAAGUCUAUCUUCUUUGACAUGGGGUUUUAAAAUCCCGGAGCAACUUCUAAUCAGCACAUACCUUUGGCUCAGAAGGUUACUGAGCUUGUCAUAUUAAAAAAAAUAUUUUUUGAUAAAGAGGAUUUUUGAAGGUGAGCAGGUGCUGUUUCUGACAGGGCACAAGUAGCACAUAAUUGUCAACUAUUCUUUACAAAACCAAAAGAAGGCUAAUUCCUUUCCCAGAGUUAGACCUCUACGCCUCUUCUAUAGCCUUUUACAAUUUUUUCCAGUGAGAAUUGCAAUGUUUGGGAAUUUCAGCUUUCAGAAUUUAAAUUCUGUGAUUAUGAAAUUUGGAGUUUUGAUCUUUUGUAUGCAUGCCUACACGCACCAAAGCUUUUGUACUGAGCUGCACCUCCAGCCUUCCCUUUCCUUUAAAAAAAUUUUUUUGAGGCAGCGGUUUGCUAAAUUGACCAGGCUGACCUUGAACUUGAGAUCCUUCUGCCUCAGUGUCCUCACUUGCUGGGAUUCCAAGUAAGUGCUACCACGCCUGGCUAGGAUUUUGAUCUUCAGUAAUAUAAACAUUUAGGAUCAUGGCAUUUGGAAUUUUGUCUUUUGGAUUUUUUUUUGAGAUAGGGUCUCAAUAGUAGCUCAGGGCGGCCUCAAAUUUGAGGUAAUUCUCCUGCCUGAGCCCGUGACUACUGGGAUUAUAGGAAUGUACCACCGUGCCCACCAGUUUUUUUUUUUUUUUAAAUUUAAUGCAUUUUGAGGGCAAAUUUAAAGGAACAGCACAGAAGACUGACAUUAGGAAAGUAUUUAGGUGGCACAUUCCUGUGACCCCAGCACUCAGGAGGCUGAGGGAGGAGAAUUGUCUCAAGUUUUAAGCCAGUCUGAGCUACAAAGGAAGUUCAAGGCCAGCCUGAACUGCAUAGUGAGACCCUGUUUCAAAGACAGACAGACAGACACACACACACACACACACACACACAGAAUGUGUUUGCAUGUGAAACAACUCAGAAAGCAUGGUAAAUGAACAUAAAUGCUUUGGUUGCUGUUGGUAAGGAUUUUAUUUAUCUUUAAAAAUCUAAAUGCUGUCUAGAAAAAAUUGAGUAUUUUAUUUAUAGUUGUUAUAAAGUUAAAAAAAAAUAAAACCAGCUAGGCAUGGUGGCACAUCCCUGUAAUCCUAGCACUUGGGAGGCUGAGGCAGGUGGAUUGUUGCAAGUUCGAGGCCAGCCUGGGCUACAAAGUGAGCUCAAGCCAGCCUGAACUGCAUAGAGGGAUCCUGUUUCCGUCUCAAAAAGAAAAAAAAAAAAAAAAAAAAAAAAAACCAAAACCAAAACCAAAACCCAAAACAAAAAAACACCAAACAAACUAAGGCCAAUCAAAACAAAAUAGAGUGAUAAAGGACUUCAAAACAAGAUAGAAAAAUCAGUGAUGGCUACCAUGAUGCCUCUUGUUAUCUUCAAAAUAGCUGCCCAUACCAUCAGACAUCAUAAAAUCAAACAAAAUAGAACAGAAUAAAACCAAUCAAAACAAAACAAUGAAAGUGAUACUGGACUUCCAAGCAAGAUAAAAGGAAAUCAAUAAUGGUUAUUAUAAUAUAUCUUGUUAUGUUUGAAAUAGCUGCUCAUGCCAUCAGGUAUAACAAAACCAAACAAGACAGCAGAAUAAAACCAAGCAAAACAAUGAAAACAAUACAGGACUUUAAAACAAGAUAAUAGAGAACAAUGGCUACCACCUUCAGAAAGAAGUUCUCCGUAGUUGCUAUACUGCAUAUUGUUAUCCUGAAAUAGAUGCUUAAGUCACUGGCCUUAAGCCUGCAGAACCAAUCAAAUACUAAACACUCCAAGCAUUAAAGUUUUGUCCUACCUCAGUAGCUGUCAUUCCAGUCUGUUCUCUGGAUCAGCUGGUUGCGUACCGGGAUGGGGGUGGCGCUCUUCUUGUCUCCCAGCCUACCUGGGCACACACCGCUGGCUCAUAGAAGGCUUGGCUUCUUGCUUCUCCUCCCUGUGGCCUGUAGCUACUGCCGGGAAGGGGUUGGCUUCUUUGUUCCUCUACUCUCAAUCAGAUCAUUAGUUACUUUUUGAGGGGGAGAUAUUUCUAGCCUCAUAAAUCCAAUGAAAAGUAGAACUAGAUUAAUAAAGAACACUAAAAGUGGAACUUUUCCCUAAAUAUAGCUUCAAAUUCUCCUAGCAAUUUCAGACCCCCCCUUCGAGACUUUUUUCCCUCUCUGAAUUGUGGAACCAAUCAGACUGUAGAUUGAGCAAUGAAAGGUUUAUUCUUGUCCAAAGAAUAAAAGCAAGAUAUUUCCAUUAAAAGAAGGAGAGUUAAGGGUGCCUGUUGGGGACCACAAGUUCACAAUGGCUAAUUUUGCAUAUUUCCCUAUGGGAUAAAAGGAAGGAUUGGGAUUAUUGGUCUGAGAUUUCCCAUUGACUCUUCUAAGUGUAAGAUCAUCUUCGCCUUCUUGAGUCAUCUCAGGAUUAUACUCCCAUCAAAAUACUUGUGAGCAUAAGAUUAUCUAGGCCCUCUUGAGUCUGAGUCUUCUGAUGUAUUAUAAUCCUUCACUAGCCUGACCUGUUACUGUAUACACCUAAUAAAUAGUGGCUGCUUUGGGAGUGGAGAGUCCCAUCCAGAGACAUUGACUUCCCAGCCAUUGUUGAAAUCCUAUACUUGUCUCUGUUUUUCAUUUUUCUUACCAAUUCUUGAGACUGACAAUCGGGACUCUUGGCCAGGUUCUCAUAGGUGCCUGUUAACUGCUGUGGAAAUAACUGAAGAGCAACUGAAUGAAAAGGCAGGCGAAGGCUGUUUGCUGGGAGCUUGUGCAGCUUGCAAGGUGGCCACUGUCUCUUGGGUCUUGGCAGUGACUUUAGGGCAGCAGAGGACUGAUGGAACCCCAGGGUGUCACAGAGGCUGAGGCUCAGGGACACUCAGAUUGUCCGGUUUGUCCUGUGUUGGAAGCAGGGACCAAAAUUAGGGAAGCUGUCAAUUUGUCACCAAGUCCUGGCCACUUCCCCCAGUGGUACAGCAUUAUCAGUUGGCUGCCUGGACGGACGGUCACUAGAGAUAGCAACUUGGCUUCUUGUAAGUCUGAUUUAAAGCAGGGUGGCAUCCUGGGUUAUUUGUUGUAGAAAGAGCUACGUCUCCUGGGUGGGCUGCUGCACUUCAUUAACCAGUGGUGGCUCAUGUCUGUGGUCUCAGCACUCUGGGAUGUUGAGGCUUGAACUGAGUUUGAACAAUAUAACAAUUUAGGGAGGACUUGUUUCAAAAUGAAAAAUAGUAAAAAAGAAAGUAAAAUUUUAAAAAAGUCACACAAGAGAAGCUGGUUAUGUAGCUCAGUACAAAGGCCCUGCGUUCAAUCCCUAGCACUGGGAGUGGAAAUUAUAGUAAAAUAAAUUGUUUAAAUGAGGAGGGAGUUGGACAUGGUAGCACACACCUGUAAUCCCAGCAGUCAGGAGGCUUAGGUGAGAGAAUUGCUGAGUUUGAGGCCAACCUGGGCUAUAGAUUGAGUUCAAGGCCUGUUUGAACUGCAUAGUGAAACCUUGUCUCAAAAAAAAAAAGAAUUAAAAAAUUCUGAGGGAAAAUAGAUAAUGGAAUUGUUCAGCUAAACUAUUUGAAUCAAUAAAAUACUAGUUCAGGAGAAACUACUAUAAUAUUCUUGCAAUAAUUAGGUAGACAGAGUGUAGGAAAAAAGAUCCUAUUCAUCACCACAAAACAUCAAAUAUAUAGGCAUUGUUCCUUUUUUUGUUGUUUGUUUAUUUUUUGAGAUAGGGUCUAACUAUGUAGCCCAGGCUGGCCUUGAAUUCACAGUAAUCUUCUUGCCUCAGCCUCCCAAAUGCUGGGAUUACAGGCAUGUGCUACCAUGCCUAGCUGUAUUAAAUUCCAAAAUGAGGUCUGAAGACAUAGCUCAGCAGCAUAAGCACCUGCCUGGCAAGAGUGAAGUCCUGAGUUUGAUUCUUGGUACAAAAAAAAAAAUUCAAAGUGGGAGUUAAGAGAUGGUUCAGUUGUAGAGAUCUUGUUUAGCAUACAUGAGGUCUUGGGAUUUAGCCCCAAUUUAAUACCACAAUUUAGUGGUAUUAAAUUUAGUACCACAAUUUAAUACCCAUGAAUGCAAUAAAAUCUAGAUCUAGUGGAAAAAAAUGAUAGAAAGUGUUGUAAACCUAUCAAAGGUAACUCUAAGAGCAGAUGUUUGCCUAAUCUAAACUUGCUUGUUAGCCCACCUGCACCUUGUUCUUCCCAAGAAAUGUAACCACCGCCUUCCUGUAGUGCGCGGCAAACUCCAUCCCCUUGCUUUGUGAAGCCCAGCAGCUGUUUGUCGUUUUACAGGAUAAAAACCCUGCCCUUUAGCUGUUAGGCGUGCAGUCUUCCAAAUUGGCUACUGGAGGCUGCGUCGCCAGGCCUGUGCUUUAAUAAAUAAUUUUUGUUUCCAAAUUAUUUUCUUUGGCUCCUUCAUACCUCAGGAAGUGGGGGGCCACCACAGAAGGUAUGUUACAUUUUUUCUUACUAAAUUCCUGUAGGGAGCCGCGAGACAGCCCCAUUGCUGCCUCCCUGCCUCUCUCUCUCCUAUGGGCACUGCGUCUGCCUACAUUAACCAUAAUCCUCUCCUGCUUACAUCACAUACCCGGACGUGAGGAUGACCCUGUUGUAUUCACCCCGUAGCCUCUUCCUGUCCCAUCUCCCGCCCUUGGCCUAUAAAAGAUGUAAUCACUUCCGGAAUAAAACUUGCCUCAGUCUCUCUCUGUCUCCCCCAUGUUUUUAUUUUAAUCCCCGUUCCUCCUCCAGGUACACCCCACGGAUUGAUCCGCAGGCUGGAUCAAAUUCCUUUUCAUAUAUAUGUUUUGGGGCUAGAAGUUUGAAGCAGCUUUGAGGGGCCUAAAGUUGGAGUGUCAGUAGGACCAUGUCCUUGAGCACCCGCCAUUGCCUAUCUUCCCAGCCAAGAGACCCCCACUCACAUCUCAAGCUGGUCAUAACUGGUCGUUGGUCUAUUCAUGUUUUUGGGUCUCCAGAGCAACAUGUGAACUGAAGCCAACUCUGAAGGAGAAGGAAUGGGUCAAAGACACAGAGAGCUGAUGAGACAAGACCUGUGUUUAGAGGCUAGCUUUGGAAUUAAAAAAAAAAAAGAAGAAAAGCGAGGAAUUAA